AAUGAACAUCACAAUAGAUACACAUGAGCAAGAUGAAUUUUAUAACAAAAUAUAGAAAUGUAAAAUUUGUUAUGAAAUAUUUUGUGGAUAUCCAUUAUCCUCCUUUUAUCAUUUCGGAAUAUUCUAGAUCUAGGGUUUAUUGUUAUCUAAGCAAACCCUUGUUAUAUUGUAUGUAUAUAUAUACCCCACUCUAUGGAAUAAGAGAGAUUGAUUGAUUCUCUCCCCAAUUUCUCUCCUAUCUUUCUUUAUUUCUUCUUCCAUAUUUAACACGUUAUCAACACCAUUGCUCUAAAUUGAUUUCAAUAUCAAUUGAAGCAUCAUAAAUUGGCUGAUCUCAAAUGACAAUCAAAGUAACUCCCAACAUAUAGUCAAACUUCUCCCUAAUACUACUACCUCUUGAUUUCACGAACAUCAACCAGAAAAAUAAUUUCCCAAACCCCUCUGCCGAAACCAAUCGUUGCUCUGCCGAUACCACUGAUCCCUGCUGCCACCGUUGGUCAGCUGUAAUUCGGAGAGGACUCAAGCCCGUAAGCUGCUUGUUGCCGCCAUUCACCGCUCCGGCCUCUCGUGCUCGGUGCUCCACUGCUCCGUCAUCCACCCAUAAAAUAUUCCGUGACUUUAUAGUGAAUCAUGUCAAACCUUGCAAAACUCGAAUUUGUUGCUCUUGAUAUUACUGGAAACAACUAUCUGUCUUAGGUGUUAGAUGCUGAAAUACAUUUAGAUGCAAAGGGACUUGGUGAUACUAUUAAAGAAAACAACACUGCAACAAGCCAAGAUAAGGCUAAAGCUAUGAUAUUCCUUCGCCAUCACCUUCAUGAAGGCCUUAAGACUGAGUACUUGACUGUUAAAGACCCACAAGUCCUUUGGAGUAAUCUAAAGGAAAGGUAUGACCACCAGAAAACUGUGAUAUUACCAAAAGUCCGUUAUGAUUGGUUACAUUUAAGAUUACAAGACUUUAAGUCUGUGAGUGAAUACAACUCAGCCAUGUUUAGAAUUACAUCACAAUUGAAAUUGUGUGGAGAGAAAAUCAUGGAUGCAGAAAUGUUAGAAAAAACAUAUUCUACUUUUCAUGCAAACAAUGUUGUCCUGCAGACACAAUACUGUGAAAAGGUUUUACAAAAUAUUCUGAAUUAAUAUCUUGUCUCCUUGUGGCUGAGCAAAAUAAUGAACUAUUAAUGAAAAAUCAUGAAUCACGCCCAACUGGCUCUACUCCAUUCCCUGAAGCAAAUGCGACAUCCCAUAGUGGGAAAGAGCAAAAGGUUAGAGAUCACGCCAGCAGUCGUGGUCGAGGCCGUGGUCGUGGACGCGGACGUGGACAUGAUCAUGGUCGAGGUGGUCAUUUUAGGAACUCAUACUCUCACAAGAAGUGGGACGAUAAAGAUGGAAAUAAGAAUGAGAAGGAUAAAAAUGAAAAUAUAUGCUACCGUUGGCCAUUGGUCUCGUGUGUGUCACACACCAAAACGUCUAGUAGACCUCUUUUAACAAUCAAUCAAACAGAAAGGAAAGAAAGUAGAAACAAAUUUGGUGUAUGAGGAUGGCGAAGGUGGUUUUGAUUAUGGUGAUAAAACUCACCUGGAAGCAGCUGAUUUCUUUCCUAAUCCUGAAGAAAAUAAUUGAAUAAAUUAUGAUCCAUUGGCGAAUAAACUCUAUUAAUUAGCUUACAUUUAUUAUAGAAUUUUAUCAUAGUACUAUGAUUUUAUGUUUUAUGGGACAUUUGUUUUUGGAUAAUUUUAUGUUUUUGGAUAUUUUUAUGUUUUCAGAUAUUUCAUCAUUAUUAUUAUCAGUCGUUUAUUAAUUUAAGUUAUUUGGUUUA